UUACUUAUACGAAAAAAAAAACAAAUCAGAUGGUUGCACAGACGAUGGUAUGUUAGGCCAAUUAAACAAAAGAGAUCAAUUUGGAGAUUAUAAUUGUUUAUUCCAAGAACUUAAGAAUGAUGAAAAAAUGUUUUACCGCUACACAAGAAUGACAACUGAACAUUUGAACAAGCUUACAGAAUUAACGACACCGUAUUUAAAAAAAAUAAAUAAACAUGCUCUUAUUCCGGAACAUAGACUUAUAAUAGCUUUAAGAUAUCUUGCUAUAGGCGAUUUACCGUUAUCCAUAGCUGUAGCUUUUAGAGUUGGCGAAUCUACAGUCAGGAAAAUAAUAAAGGAAGUUUGUUUAGUGUUAAUUAAAGUUUUACAACUUCUAUAUUUUGUUUGUCCUAAUGAUGAAGAUUGGAAAAAAUGUGCUGAUGGUUUCUGGAAACGUUGGAAUCUUCCUAAUUGUGUUGGAUCGAUAGAUGGGAAGCACAUAAGAUUACGAUGUCCUCCAAAUUCCGGAACUUUAUUUUACAAUUAUAAAAAAUAUUACAGCAUAGUAUUAAUGGCAGUAGCAGAUUCUAUAUACAGAUUUACACUAGUUGAUGUAGGAGCCUACGGAGGAGACAGCGAUGGAGGAAUUUUUAAUGAUUCUCAAAUAGGAAUUAAUUUGAACAAUGAACAAUUAAAUCUGCCAAAAGAAAUUGUUAAUCUUCCUGAUACCAAUAUAAAAACAUUCCUAUAUUUUAUUGAUUUUCAAGAGCACGCAGAACUGUCGAAAACGCUUUUGGUAUUUUUGCCAACAAAUGGAGAAUAUUUCAUACAUCUAUUUGUAUGCUGCCAGAAACUGUAAACAUAAUUCUUACAGCUUCAGUUUGUUUACAUAAUUAUGUGUUAAAAGAAGAGCAACACAAUGAAUAUAAAUAUUACAGUCAAGAGAUAAUUCGAGAAAAUGAUAAUACAAUGUGGCUGUCAUCAAGUGGUGUCGAAGAAUGUAGUGGUAACGUAAGGGAUGGUCAAGCUCAAAGGGAUAAACUAUGUGAAUAUUUUGUUUCUUCAGCUGGAAGACUGGAAUGGCAAUAUGACUAUAUUCAUAGACUAUAUUCAUUUAUUUUUGAAUUUAAUUUAUAUUCUUUCCGUUUCUAAUUAUCACCGUUUUAUGUCUCUACGAACCGUGUUACUUAAUGCUCUAAUCUUCGUUAAUUAAAUUGCGCUGAAGAUGACUUGAAGACAAGUCGAAACGUCCGCACACACCUUUUAUUCUUAUAU
rnacentral:misc_RNA from 1 species